UAAGAAACCAGAGCCCUCAGGGCUCCUCCCAGCUGCAGCAGCCGGUGAGUCCAUUCCAACAGUUUUCCCAUGCAGCCAGCCUUCUCGUGAGCAACUGCCAUCGCAGCCCUCUGUCCUAGCUCACAUGGUGGAUGCUGUGUUCAGGGGAUAAUGAGGGAUCAUCAUGGCUGCCUUUUUUUAGUUCUCAAGCUCAACUGAAAACCGCCACCGUAGUGCUGUUAAGGUAGCAGCCUGGGUGUUCUGGGGCCUGCUGAGUGGCGGGGACAGGCCACAGUCACACUGGCCUGUUGUGGUGCUGUGUUGUUGUAACCAAGGCCGGGAGGCUUAGCGCCUCGCGUCUUCUAUCAGCUGGAGACUAUUCGUGUCUCUCAGUUCUCAGAGGACUGUGCCUGAAGCAGCAUUAUGUUCCCCAAAGACACAUGACAGGUGGCUCCAUUCAGUGCCCAGGACAGACACAAGACCGGCUCCGUCCCUGCUCAGACAGCUGUAGGGGACAGCGAGUCCCUUCCUUCCUUGGCUGGAGGAGACUUCACCCAGGCCCUGCCUCUCGUGCAUCUCAGGUCUGCUUUUAUGAUCCCAGACAGCUCCGUUAGCGAUCUCCUCCUGGCUCUGGCCACAGGGACAUAAUCUUCAGCUCUGCCACUAAUUAAAACACCACCAAGGCAAAGUCACCUAACACCUCAAGCCCAAUCCUCCUUGAGUGGAAAAUCAAGAUGACAGAACUUCAUAGGGCCUUUAACAAUAUCAAGGCCCUGGUGAUGACACAGAGCCUAUUUGCAUAAGCCAGCACAGGAGUUAAGGCCAACCGAUUAGCAUUCUCAAUGCAACGCAACCUUAAUGCCUCCUCACCACACAACAUGCCACAUUCACUAGGCUCUGGGGGUGAGGACAUGAACAUCUUUGCAGCUGAAGGAGGAAUUAUUCUGUCCACCUCAGACAACCAUGGCAAAAAGUCUACCACUCUAGAGAAGUGAUCUCCAACAUUUUGGCACCAGGAACCAGCUUCAUGGAUGGCACCAGGAUGGUUUGGGAGGAUUCAAGCACACUGCAUAUAGGUCCCAGCUCUGAGGACAGUGACAAUGAGGAACACCAGUCGCUGCUUUUUGUCAAGAUUGAAAAAGCUUCCUUGUGCUGGCAGCCAAUGCAGAGAUUCACCAGGAGUGAGACAGAAAGAGAGAUACAGAGGCCCAGGACCUCCAGCCAUCCCCACAGCCCAGAUCCACCCUGGGCUUUCCAAGCGCUUGAGCCAAUAAAUCUCCUCUGCUCUUUAUUCCUCCUAAACUAAGUUUCUUUCACCGACAGCCAAGCAUUUACUAACAUGCUCAAGAAAUACCUGUUGGGGCCAGUCACAGCUUCCCAAACCCUGGCAUGUCUUCAAGAUCCCAGGUCUAAAAGGCCCUGGUUCUAAAUCAACGAUCGGGACCCCACAAGUUCCUGAUAGGUUUAAUACACUCUCACAGAUCUCCAAAUGCCUUUGGGCUCACUUGGCUUACCUCAGCCCAAAGGAUACACAAUGUCUGUAAGUUCAUUUUUCUGCAUGGAAAAUGCCUUGUACAACCAGAGCACCUGGCCAAUUACUCCAAAAUGACUGCAGACCUCCAUAAGGAAGGCUCCUGGAGGACAUCCAUGAGGAAACCAGUGGCAACAGGAGGAUGAGCGCCUGAGGGUGAAGAAAGAGCUUGCCUUCUUCAAGCCCAGCCGGAAGAGAACGAAGGUGACUUUAUUCUGAGAAAAAGCCCCUUAGCCAACAUUUGUGUCUCUUCCAAAAUUCAUGAUGGAGCUGAACCCGCAGUGCAGAAGUGUCAGGAGGCGGGGCCUUCAGGAGACCAUUGGGAUUACUGGCUUGAAGGCAUAAGUUUGUUUCUUCCUCCCUUUCCAUGAUAUGGGACCCAGCAAUGAGGCAUCACCCUGGAAGCAGAAAGCAGCCCUCAGCAGAUACCAAAGCUGCCAGAACCUUGAUCUUGGGCUUUGCUAGACUCCAGAGCUGUGAGAAAUAAAUUCCCAUUCUUUAUAAGUUAGCCAGUGUAAGGUAUUUUGUUACAGCAGCACAGGCAGACCACAACAUCAAGUAAUCAAGAGUAACUUUAAUCUUCUAUAAAAAACGGAGCUACAAAUACCCAUCUCUCUGGGCUUUGUGAGUAUCUGAGGCGAUAUUU